GGGUGAGUAACACGUGGGCAAUCUGCCCUUCACUCUGGGACAAGCCCUGGAAACGGGGUCUAAUACCGGAUAGCACUCCUGCUCGCAUGGGCGGGGGUUGAAAGCUCCGGCGGUGAAGGAUGAGCCCGCGGCCUAUCAGCUUGUUGGUGAGGUAACGGCUCACCAAGGCGACGACGGGUAGCCGGCCUGAGAGGGCGACCGGCCACACUGGGACUGAGACACGGCCCAGACUCCUACGGGAGGCAGCAGUGGGGAAUAUUGCACAAUGGGCGCAAGCCUGAUGCAGCGACGCCGCGUGAGGGAUGACGGCCUUCGGGUUGUAAACCUCUUUCAGCAGGGAAGAAGCGCAAGUGACGGUACCUGCAGAAGAAGCGCCGGCUAACUACGUGCCAGCAGCCGCGGUAAUACGUAGGGCGCAAGCGUUGUCCGGAAUUAUUGGGCGUAAAGAGCUCGUAGGCGGCUUGUCACGUCGGGUGUGAAAGCCCGGGGCUUAACCCCGGGUCUGCAUUCGAUACGGGCUAGCUAGAGUGUGGUAGGGGAGAUCGGAAUUCCUGGUGUAGCGGUGAAAUGCGCAGAUAUCAGGAGGAACACCGGUGGCGAAGGCGGAUCUCUGGGCCAUUACUGACGCUGAGGAGCGAAAGCGUGGGGAGCGAACAGGAUUAGAUACCCUGGUAGUCCACGCCGUAAACGGUGGGAACUAGGUGUUGGCGACAUUCCACGUCGUCGGUGCCGCAGCUAACGCAUUAAGUUCCCCGCCUGGGGAGUACGGCCGCAA
rnacentral:rRNA from 1 species